AGUUUGCCCAUCUGGGCAGAGGGAUCCUCCUCGCAUCAUCACUGCAGUUUCACUGAGCUCUGUGCAGCUCCCACACACAAAUGUCUGACGAGUUCUGCAGUGGCUUUUGUUUGCUUCACGUGGAUAAGCUGUUUGGAAUACAGAUGGACAGCCAUGAGCACAAAAUAUACUCAGUCUUCUCCCUGAAGAAUGACAUCAUUCUUGGGUUGGGUUGGUGUUUUUCUUCCCAUGUUCUGGGUAAAAUAUUAUAAUGGCAUCAUUUCCCUCCUUCAAGAAAAUAGUUGAGCAGAUCUCCUAUUCUUCUGAAAAGCCUCUGAGUCUAUUACUUGGCUGAGAAUUGGAUUAAUUUUUUUCUUGAGAAGGGCUCCUUUCAUCACUUAAAGGGACAAAAAAUCAUAUUUUGGCUGAAAUACAGGUUUUGCCAUCUUCUAGUGAUUGAAUGCAUAAAGGACUCUGAAUACUUUGGGCUUUGAUUAUGUAUAGAAAGUCUUGCAUUUAUGUUUUGAGCUACUGGCAUCGCAGGAAUGAAAGGAAACAAAUAAGCAGCCCCCAGGCUUUUGUAUUUAUAACCUGUGCCACACCUCCAGUCCUGGGUUCAGUUUUGGGCCCCUUAUUACAAGGAGGACUUUCAGGUGAUGGAGUGGAUCCAAAGAAGGGCAAUAAAGCUGGUGAAAGGCCUUGAAUAUGGGUCUUAUGAGGAACAGCUGAGGGAACUGUGGCUAUUUAGUCUUCAGAAGUGGAUGCUGAGGUGAGACCUCAUUGCCCUCUACAAGCACCCCAAAAGAGGUUCAAGUGAGGUAGGGAUUGGCCUCAUGUGCAACAAAUGACAGAACAAGAGGAAAUGUCUUCAGGUUGUGUGUGGUAGUAGGCUUGAUAGAGCAAACAUGGGCUUAUCCAUGCCCAGACAUAUUCCCCUGCCCCCCCAACUUCUGUGCUGGGGGGAGGCAACCGUGGGAGGGGAGGACAAAAGCCCUGGCUUCAUCUAAUGUGGUGAAGCCUGGCAAAGUACUGUUCUGAUGAGCUAAUCUAUGUCCAAUGCUCUACUAGUCUUGGGCUGGAUAUUGAUAAAAGGGAUAAGCAGGUAGCACAGGGGCUGCUGCCUCGUUUUACAUCCUGACUUGACCUGGAGAGCUUACCAAAAACAGGCUCUAAAUGCCUGCAUGUGAUGGGCCUGCAUAGCCAGCCAGACAUGGUGCUGAGACUGCACGUGGCAAGACUUCCUGCCUGCACCCAGUCUCCUGCCAAGACUAGAAGUCCUGGAGAUACACAGAUGGUCCAGAGGAGCCAGGAGACAAGAUCUGAGAUUGUCUGCCUCCAUUCCCCAGAAGCCUGGGAAGAAUCAAGUCUCAGCAGCCAACAAGACAGAGCUCCAUGUGCUUUGGGCACUGUCUGAUUUAUACUUUGAGUAAAUGCUCCAAAGCCUCUUUCAGUGUAAUAUUUAUUUGCCACUUUAAGAAUUAAGUGCUCUAGUUUUGCCUGUUCCCUGCAUGUGUAAAUUUCCAAACUGUGUGGGGUUUUUUUUGAACCUGUGAAUAAGUUUUCUGGUGAGUUUUGCCCUUAAUAAACAGUUUUCAUAGUUA